AUUCCCUUAUUGCCAACAAGUCAUUUAACUCCUCAGUAGAACUGCGUUAAGACCACAGUCAGCUUGGAUCACCCAAUCAAGAUUUUAUUUCCUGGACUAACAGACCCUCUCUUUCUUGCCACCUGCUCCUUGAGACGCCACGGAUGGAGGCUCUUCUGCAGUGAUGGAUAAAGAGGAUGGCCACGUCUGCCUCCAGAGAGAGUCCCAGAAGGCGAAGGGAUGGAGCUGAGCAGGUUAAUGAGACAAAACAGGGAAAAUAAACCAGCUUCUUGAACUGUAUGGGUAACUAACACCAAUCAUCUGAAGAAUGAGGACAAUGUCUAACAUCCCAUGACCUGUGAACUUCCUGGAUGAAGCUGGGGAGAAGCUGGGCUAGAAAUGAAGAAGGCGGAUCUGACUUCUACCUGCAAUGUUCAGGUCUUCGCUCCUACUGGUUCUGGUUUUUAUCUAGGUCUUCUAGGGCAAAGCAUUAGCAUUCUUUUUUGUUAGUUUUGGUUUUGUAUUGUUAAUUGACUCCCCAACUUGUCCCACCCAUACGAACAGAAAUUUGUGUUAAAUAAAUACAAGCUUCAGUCUCA